rnacentral:lncRNA from 1 species
UUUCUUCUAGCAAGUUACAUAAGGUUAUUAGAACACGAAGUAAGAGAGUGGCAGAGAGAAAAUUGUGAAUUUAGAUGGCAGGAUCAAUGAUCUGAAUAAGGAAAUCAACCAGGCAAUAAAGGUUAAACAAAAUUAUCUGCUCAACCAUUGGAAUAGCAUCAAACUUGGGGAAAAGAGAAUGGAAAGAUGGAGUUUACUAUAGACUGAGGAGAGCAUUUGGAGACAGAGAUCUAAGAAUCAAUUGGUUGGGAGAUGGGGAUAAUAAUAUCAAAUUUUUUCAUCAACCAAUAUUAAG